GGCUGAGCUGCUGAUCCUCUGUGACGGAAUAAGCCAUGGGUGCCACAAACUUCCAUUUUCCAGGGGCUUCUAAGGCUUGGGAAUCUCAGAGCAGAGAGAAAUCCCACAGAACCUGCACUGGGCCCUGCUUCUGCUGUGCAGGGUUCACCUGGAUGCUUGUGGAAGGCACCAGAGGCUGCAGCCCCUGCACAAGCUCCACAAGUGACACUGUAGCUUGGCUGUGGGGAGGGGAGGAAAGGGACGACAGUUGUGGCAGAGAACUCUGGUGGUCGCCGAGUUCGGGAUCUCCCCCACCUUUGGGUGGCAAGGCAGCACCUCUGCCCUCAAAGGUGGGAGCAAACAGCCAGUGGUGCAUCCCACGCAGCAGGCAAUGCUCCUGGAGGUGUUUGGCAGUCAGGAGAGCUUUGCUGCAUCUGGGCUUGGCAGAGCACAGCCACCCUGGCCAUACAUCAUCCGCAGGAGCGGGCACUUGGGUAGCCAAAAGUGCUGGUGCCAGCUGUGCUGCCCGUGGCAGAGGAGACAGAUGCACCCAAAAAGGAGCCCGUGGCUGCUGCUGCUCACCUUCCCACAAGCCUUGCUCUUGCCCUCAGCCCUGGGGGACCCUGGCUCUAGCCUGCAAUGAAACCAAAAAGGGAUGCCAGUCUUGAAUUCCUAGAAAAUCCAAUCAAAUCAGAAAGACCAGUGCAAGGAGACUCAGCUAGCGCCCAGCCUGACACAUCUGGGAGCGACUGCUCUAGGGAGGCUGUGGGCAUCUGAGAGAAGCAGAGCUGCCUGUGCCGCUCUGCCCUGCUCCACGGCCGUGGGGUGUGCAGGGCUCUCUGAGGCCAGACCUGGCUCUGAGGGAUGUCAGACAUCAAUAAACAUCACUGUCAAAAAGGACA
rnacentral:lncRNA from 1 species